AGGAAUGUGAUCGAAUGGUAAAAUGAAGGAAUUUGGCCCCUUAGAUUGUUGGUUUAAUUCCAGCCAUCACUG